ACAUGAUUUUAUUCUUUGUAGGUUAUGUUAUUUUAGCGGAAAAUAAUGGUUGUGUUUACUUAUAAUUAAUAAUUAUUAGUUUUCAAGUUACAUGAAUACUUCAGCUACAAAAGCCAUAGUUUCAAAAUAAAAUUAUUUUUCAAAAUCGAUUUGAGCUAGACUAUAUAGCUGUAUGAUAACAUAAAAUAAUGAUGAAGAGUGAUGUUAUUCUUUACUGUACCAGGUUCCAGAAAACAUGCAGUCUGUAAUCUACCCCCAUGUCAGUGUAGAGAGGCCUGUUCAUGAAGACACAACGUCCUUCGACGAUACCAAAACAUAUUACACAGUGUAUAUAGAUGGACGGAUAGAAAGCGUGAACAUCAAAAGCCAUCGUGUGUGUUACCCAGUUUCCAUUCUGCAUCUAACAAUAGGAACCAAGCAUCCAACAUCAUAACUUUAUUAUUAUAUUAGUCCAGGCAAUGAAUGCUCAAAAGAGGGUAUAGAGAGAAAAGUUCGGAAGACUAUAUUUGACCCCGCAAUUUUGUUUUGGGUAUUAAGGAGGUAAAAAUAUAAAAAAUCCACACCCCUACCCCUUGUGCUAAGGGGGUGGGGUGGUUCAAAGGUACCAUUUUUUGGUUUCUCGCAUAUAACUCGAAAACUAUACCUAUAAACUAUAUCUUACGGACAUAACUGUUAAAUACAAAGGUAAAGCUUAUAUAAUUUCCUACAAUAUUCAUCUCACAACUGUUCUUGUUUUCGAGAUAUCCGCUCUUAAAUGUGUGACAUUUUUGAAAAAAACACGUUCGCCUCCAAUUUUUCUCUAUUUCUACUCUUUUAAAAAUUGAUAGGAAAAAUCAAUGCAGAUUAUGAUCUCAUAGAGCAAUAAAUUCUAUUCAAUUUUAUGUAUAAUUUAUCACUUUUACGCACUUCCCUACAACUGUUGCAAUAGCUUUAGUGUUGAGUGAGAGGGGAUGAGGGUGGUUCGAAAGUUGAAUUUUUCAGCUUUUUGCUUCCGCGCUCAUAUCUUGAGAACAAUGCGUUCAACCGACAUAACUAACUAUUAAAAAAUUAAGUUUGAUAAAUUCUCUACACUUUUUGAUCAGUGGAAUUGUGAUAUUUCCAACAGUUAUCGAGAUAUUCGCUCUUGAAGGUGUGCAAUUGUCGAAAUAACAGGAUUUUAUGCAAUUUUUUGCUCUUUCAGGGCUUAUAACUCUCCAACAAUGCAUCGUAAAAAUCAAUGCUUAUCGUAGGUUUGUAGAGCAUUAAAUUCUCUUUAAAAUAGUGUAUUAUUUCACUAUUCAAAGUUUAUGUUUCAUUGUUUAUAGCAACUUUAAUGUAGGGGAUGAAAUUUCCAAUGCUGCAACAAUUGUUCAUUUGGCAAUGAAAUUUGAAGCUGGUGUCUGUGACACAAUUUUUGACGUUGCAGCUUAAUUUUGACUAGUUAGUAGAUUAACAUAGCAAAAGUUCACAUCUUUAUCCCCUCUGUUGAAGGUUUGGAACCACUGAGUUGACACUAGUUGCAAUAUUGAAAAUGUUGCUACAUUGCACUAUCAUUUUUGAUCAUUUGUUACAUCACACAACUAUUAUAUGAAUACUUUGUAUUGUUGUAACCAACUUGAAUCAAUUGACAAUUCCUUUUUUACUGCUUAUUCAAAUUUACUAUUUGUUAUUUUUGAUUUUCAUUAAACGUCCUUUUUCCUACUUAGUGCAGUCAUCAUAACUUUUAAGGCCAUUUGUAAAGUGCCACUUAUAAUAAAUGCAAUCAUUUGUUAUUGUUACAUUGUCUUACAAUUUCUUGGCGUCUACCUUGCUACCAGGUAUUUAGUAGUUAUACUCUUAUAAGUUUUAUGGUGAGUUUGGGUUAAGGUAUUGAUGAACAACAUCAGCCAUCUUUUAAAUUAUAUUUAUUAUUUAACAGACAUUUCAUUCAACUUAGUAUACAGUCCACUUGAAGUCCCUCAUACCAAACACAUCAGAUACUUAGUUUUCGAGUUAUAUGUGAGAAACCAAAAAAUGUUACCUUUGAACCACCCCCACCCCCUUACUUAGCACAAGGGGUUGGGGGGGGGGAAUUUUGAUAUGUUUACCCCCUUAUUACCCUAAACAGAACUGCGAGGUCAAAAAUUGUCUUCCAAACUUCUCCCUCUAUAACCUUUCCUUGACUGCACUAUAUUAUAUCAUCUAGUUAAUUUUGAUAUCACAUUAAUUAAAAAGCUUCCCUCAUAGUAUAAUUUUUCAAUAUUUUACUAAUUGUAUAAUACACAAGAAAUCAAUAUAUUGCCGAGGUUGUCAAAGAUGUGAAUUUUCAAUGUUCUUUGAUGUAAAUAUUAUUGCAAAAAACUAAUAUCAUGGUUAGCUAUGCAUAAAGAGGCAUGGUAGCAUGAUGGUCAUUCUUUACUGAAUCGAAAUAAGCUGUUAUAAUUUUUUCUAUUAUUCAUUUGGUUUUCAAUAAACUAGUUAUGAUCAGAUGCCUCAUUACUAAAUGCAAAAUUCAUGUCGGUUAUGUAGCUUUUCUGCAAUAAACUAGAAUUACUCAAUAA
rnacentral:lncRNA from 1 species